CUACCCACCUUGCAAUGCCCCCCUCGAAUGACCGGUGCGGCGGUUAGGCAUCCCUAGACGAAAGUGGUAACUUCCACACUCAGAGAAACCCUGGAAUUAAAAAAGGGCAAUCCUGAGCCAAAUCCGUGUUUUGAGAAUGGGAUUCUCGAACUAGAAUACAAAGAAAAAGGAUAGGUGCAAAGACUCAAUGNNNGCUGUUCUAACAAAUCGAGUUAAUUAUAUUAUGUUGUUAGUGGAAUUCCUUCUAAUUCUAAAUUAGAGAAAGAGGG
rnacentral:ncRNA from 1 species